CAAUGUUGUAAAAGCAGAAAUUAAUAACGAGAGAAAUUUGGGAAAGUCACAAAUAUGUGGAAAUUAAGUAAAUACGCAUAAAUAACCAAAAGUUCAAAGAAGAAACCACCAGGGAAAUUAGAAAAUAUUUUAAGAUGAAUGAAAAUAAAGACAUAACAUAUGAAAACUUAUGGGAUAUAGCUAAAGCUUAGAGGGAACCUUAUAGUUGUAAAUGGCUACAUUUAAAGAGAAGAAAGAUCUCAAAUCAAUAACCUAAUUUGCUCCCUUAAGACAAUAGGCAAAAAAAAAAAUAACAGUGAACUAAAUCCAAAGCAGGAUUAGAGUGGAAAUUAAUGAAAUAGAGGAUAGGAAAAUAAGAGAAAAAUUACUGAAACUAAUGCUUUCCUUUUAUGGCCAGGUUCACGGCAUGUAGAAGUUCCCAGGCCAGUGAUUGAACUCACCACCACCAUAGCUAUAACCAGAGCCACAGCAGUGACAACACAAGACCUUUAACCUGCUGAGCCACCAGGGAACUCCUAAGUGUUUGCUCUUUGUCUUUUGUCUUUUUAGGGCCGCACCUGCAGCAUAUGGAGGCUCCCAGAAAAGGCAAAAAGACAAAAAAAAAAAAAAAAAAAAAAAAAAAGAGAAUAUUGUGAACAAUUAUAUGUCUACUAAUUAGAUAAUUUAGAAUGGGCAAAUCCCUAAAAAGACAUAAACUAUUGAAACUGAUGCAGAAGAAAUAAGAAAUCUGAAUAGACAUACCUGACAAAUAGAGAUCAAAUUACUAAUUUAAAAGCUAUCCACAAAUAAAUGUUCAGACUCAAAUGGCAUCAUUAGCGAAUUCUACCAAACAUUUAGACAAUUAAUAUUAAUCCUUCUCAAACUUCCAAAAAAUAAAAGAGGAGGGGACACUUUCCAAUUCGUUCUUGGAGGACUGUAUUAUCCUAAGGCCAAAGCUAGACAAAAAAACCACAACAAAAUCACAGACUAGGGAAUUCUCAUGGCGCAGCGGAAGUGAAUCUAAUAUCCAUGAGUAUGCAGGUUUGAUCCCUGACCUCGCUCAGUGGGUUGGGGAUCUGGCGUUGCCAUGAGCUGUGGUGUAGGUUGCAGAUGCGGCUCAGAUACUGCAUUGCUGUGGCUGUGGUGCAGGCUGGCAGCUGUACCUCCAAUUCAACUCCUAGCCUGGGAACUUCCAUAUGCCUUGGGUGUGGCCCUAAACAGCAAAAAAAAAAAAAAAAAAAAAAAAAAAAAAAUCGCAGACUACUAUCCCUUAUGAAUAUAGAUACAAAAAUCCUGAACAAAAUACUAGGCAAGUCCAAUAGCGUGUUUAAAAAAUUAUACACCAUAAUCAAAUGGAAUGGUUCAACAUAAGAAAAUCAAUGUAAUACACCAUCUUGCAAUGAAGGAAAAAACCCACAUGCUCAUCUCAAUAGAUGCAGAGAAUGCACUGACAAAAUCCAAUAAUUUCUCAAGUUAAUAACACUCAGAAACUAGGAAGAGCAUUCCCUCGACCUGAUAGAGAACAUUUAUGGAAAAUCCACAGCUAACUUCAUACUCAAUGUUGAAAAAUUUAAAACUUUCCCAAUAUCAGACAAGACAAAGACACCUGAUUUCAUCACUGCUAGUCAACAUAAAAUAUUGGCUGUUCUAGUCAGAGCAAUUGGGCAAGAAAAGAAAUAAAAGGCAUCCAAAUUGGAAAGGGAGAAGUAAAACUAUCUCUAUUUGACAUGCCAUUAUAUAUAGAAUAUUCCAGAGAAUCCAC
rnacentral:lncRNA from 1 species